rnacentral:rRNA from 1 species
CCGGCACGGGUGAGUAACACGUAUCCAACCUGCCGUCUACUCUUGGACAGCCUUCUGAAAGGAAGAUUAAUACAAGAUGGCAUCAUGAGUUCACAUGUUCACAUGAUUAAAGGUAUUCUGGUAGACGAUGGGGAUGCGUUCCAUUAGUUUGUUGGGGGGUAACGGCCCACCAAGACUACGAUGGAUAGGGGUUCUGAGAGGAAGGUCCCCCACAUUGGAACUGAGACACGGUCCAA